CCCUUAGAUGUUCUGGGCCGCACGCGCGCUACACUGAUGCAUUCAACGAGUUUCUUCCUGGUCCGAGAGGAAUGGGUAACCUUUUUAAAGUGCAUCGUGAUAGGGAUAGACUAUUGCAAUUAUUGGUCUUCAACGAGGAAUUCCUAGUAGACGUAGUUCAUCAGACUGCAUCGAUUACGUCCCUGCCCUUUGUACACACCGCCCGUCGCUCCUACCGAUUGAAUGCUCAGGUGAGCCAUUCGGACUUUCAUCAUGCUGGUUUCCAGUUUUGAUGAAGGAAAGUCUUGCGAACCUUAUCAUUUAGAGGAAGGAGAAGUCGUAACA
rnacentral:rRNA from 1 species